rnacentral:rRNA from 1 species
GCUUAUCUUGCGCAGCUUAGGUGGGAGGCUAUGAACCUUUUCUUCUGGGAAGAGGGGAGCCAUCAGUGAGAUACCACUCUUGGUAAGCUAGAGCGCUCAGUCUUCACCGUCAUCCGGUAAGACGACAGUUUCAGGCGGGCAGUUUGACUGGGGCAGUCACCUCCCAAAAGGUAAUGGAGGUGUGCAAAGGUUCCCUCAGGCUGGACGGAAAUCAGCCAUAGAGUGUAAAAGCAUAAGGGAGCUUGACUGCGAGACUGACAUGUCAAGCAGAGACGAAAGUCGGCUUUAGUGAUCCGACGGUGCUGUGUGGAAAGGCCGUCGCUCAACGGAUAAAAGUUACUCUAGGGAUAACA